rnacentral:rRNA from 1 species
AUACUUUCCGCCAGAGAACUACAAGUGAAAAACUUGAAACUCAAAGGACUUGACGGUGUCCCAUAUCGGCCUAGAGGAGCCUGUCCUAUAAUCGAUACCCCCCGUUCCACCCAACCCCAACUAGCACCAGCCUAUAUACCGCCGUCGACAGUUUACCCUAUGAAGGCAAUAGUAGACACAACAGCUAAACGCUAGCACGUCAGGUCAAGGUGUAGCAAAUGUUGGGAAGAGAUUGGC